UAUCGUCAUGAUAGUGCGCAUUUAAUUCGAGUGUUAAAGCGAGCCGAAAACCUCAACGACUUGUUGUUAUCUUUGCAUAUGACGAAUAAAAUGUUUUGCACAACAAUAUAUUAUUAUUAUGGCGAUUUACUGUUUGUUUAUGAGUUUUCAUAACGUAUCGAGUGCGCAUACUAACUCUAUCGCAUAGUGGCGUACGUGAUAUUUAACGCCUUGCUUGUGGCGAGAGAACGAGAUUCAUUAUUCUUGAGGGUAUCUACUAACAUCAUAAUUGUAUGUUUAAUUGCGGCGAAUCGAACGGAGACUUAGAAGAGUAGCCGCAGUUCUGCAGUCUGUGAAUAGCACGGUACCUCUAUCCGUAUGAACGAUGGUCGUUCGACUUCUCCGUUCGUGCAGAGUUGAUGGUGCUUAGAACACACGUCGUAACAAUAAUGCACACAGAUCAAAACGUUUUCUCCUGUUCGCACGAUGUUGGGUGUAAUGAGCAUACAAACUGAGGCUGCCACGGACCUGACGAUGCGCGUGUAAUUCACGAAACAAAUGGACACAGAUCAAAAGUACCUACGGAAUAUCGUCAUGAUAGUAUACGUAUUGAAUUAUUAUACGUUUGGUACCUGCGGAUGUUAAAAAAAAAAAUAUUAUUCUGUCACAGAAUGUUGUGAAUAAAAAAUAGUACGAUUUGGCUGCUUUUAACGAACGCGUGGAAUUCCGUGCAAUGAGAGAAAAAUCAGACGUCAGGUAUAUACGACAGGUACGUCAUAACGCAUUAAUUAUUACACCGAUAAUACUAUGUAAGAAUAAGAAACGAACACACGACGAUUUGUCAGCUGAGAAAAUGACAGUCGAACAAUAAUAUUAAUGUACCUACUCAAUACGAUAUUAAUAUAAUAAAGUCAAUAUUGUAUAGAGGUGCGUACGGCGAUAGCCCGGAAAGAUAUAAUAAUAUUGUACAUCAGUCAACGAUUUCCACGAAAUCACACCUUUGCGAGAAUAAUAUUCCAUAGAAUAUUCAUACACAUAUUAUUAUUAUUACUAUUGUGCGGGUGUAAUAAAUACACAUCCUUGCACGUAGGGUAGUUUUUUUUUUAUACAUAUUAUACCCCGCCUGGCCUUCUAUCCGUUUUAAUGUACUUUUCUUCUCUUUUCUCUCGUUUUAUAAUUUAGUACGUUUCAUUCCUGUGCACCCGUACGUUCAACACACAAUGAUUUAUUGUUUCGCGGAAUUUAUGUGUGUGUUUUAUUUUUUUUCAUUUUGUAUUUUCCAAAUGGUUUAGCUUUGAAAUGUAGGUUCCCAGUGUUGACAAUUUGGAUACGCGUAUGUGAGUGUAAUAGUAGGUGCUUCAAAAUAUUUAAAUAUUUGUUGGUUAAAGCUUCCCAAGUACAUAUUAUUAUAAUAUACUAUUAGCGUAUAAUUAUACCACCUACCUGUUUUAUAGUAUUAAAUGAACCAACUUGAGUACUUGGCGGUCCAGACAUUACAGUAAAGACAUUAUAACCACAUUAACUAUAUUAUCAAUUAAUCCGGUUGUAAAAUGCUGUUGGAGAAUAUCAAUGUCUCGUGAUUAUUAUUUUAGGAUUUCUUGCAAAUCGCGUAUUUUAGAUUAAUAAUUUUUGUUUUAAGGAAGAAAAAAAUAAUGUUUGAAUAACUAUUGUGCUUCAAUUUCAGCAUAGGCACUACACGCGUUUACAUUCAUAAUAUAGACGUUCACUUUAUAUGGAUCAAACGAAUUUGUGACGUUCGUAAAAUCCUUAGGGUUAAUAAUCAACAGUCAACUUAAUGGUUGAUGAAACAAUUAGUUUGUAGAAAAUGUAUAAUGAGAUAAAAGAAGAUAGAUAUUGCAUAUUACUGGCCUUGAUGUUUUAUAUGAGUCACUCGACAUAUUACAUGCUAGAAGGGGCUUUAAGGUUGAAAAACGUUCGAGAUUGGCUUUUGAAAAUGAUUUAAAGUAGAGAUUUUUUAGAAACUGAGUGGUGCUAGGAUUAUGUUGGUUAUAAAUCGUGAGUUUCUGUCAUCGCGUUUGGCACGAUCUAAAGGGUGCGAAAAAAUCACGUGAUAUUAUGACCCGAUUACAGAAAAUUAUAUUUUAUAAUAUGCUGGAGUAUAAGUGACGUUAUAUUUUAAUACUUGGAAUGUCCUUAUAGUUUUCCAGAAAAUUGUGAAAACCAACCGAUACCCGGCAGUCUUAUGGGAAAUUCAUAGAAGACUCGCGAUUCAGCCAUGACAUGGGUUCGAUUCCCACCGGGAAGAGAAACUUGUUGCAUUUUGUUACAGCUUUUUAAUAAUUCAAGACACAUUUGCAGCACUCGUCCACUGAUUUAUUUUUAAUAUUUUAUUGGUGUGAUAUAAUUUAAAAAUAUCUUGACAAUUUUAUCACCCUAUAUAAAAUAUUUUAUUAUGUUUCGGGUAGCUAUUGUAAAAUAAAUCAUAAAAAUAUUUUA